GAUGAACGCUGGCGGCGUGCCUAAUACAUGCAAGUCGAGCGAACUGAUUAGAAGCUUGCUUCUAUGACGUUAGCGGCGGACGGGUGAGUAACACGUGGGCAACCUGCCUGUAAGACUGGGAUAACUUCGGGAAACCGAAGCUAAUACCGGAUAGCAUCCUCUCCUUCAUGGGAGAUGAUUGAAAGAUGGUUUCGGCUAUCACUUACACAUGGGCCCGCGGUGCAUUAGCUAGUUGGUGAGGUAACGGCUCACCAAGGCAACGAUGCAUAGCCGACCUGAGAGGGUGAUCGGCCACACUGGGACUGAGACACGGCCCAGACUCCUACGGGAGGCAGCAGUAGGGAAUCUUCCGCAAUGGACGAAAGUCUGACGGAGCAACGCCGCGUGAGUGAUGAAGGCUUUCGGGUCGUAAAACUCUGUUGUUAGGGAAGAACAAGUACGAGAGUAACUGCUCGUACCUUGACGGUACCUAACCAGAAAGCCACGGCUAACUACGUGCCAGCAGCCGCCGUAAUAC
rnacentral:rRNA from 1 species